UAGUGUUAUUCAUCUUAAAUAGGUUUAAAGGGUACCUAGACGGUAAAUCUAGCCCCAAAGGGUACGAAUAUACUAGAGUUUGAUGAGAGGGGGGUAGUACUGACGGAGGAGAGAUGAAAUUUUGUGAUACCGAUAUAAGAGACAGGUAUAGGCGAAAGCAACCCUUUAUGUAAAAACUGACGUUGAAGGACGAAGGCCCUGGUUACCAACAGGAUUAGAUACCCCAGCAGUCUGGGCAGACAAUGAUGAAUGUCAUAGAUUAGAUUAUAUUUAAUCUAUAAAUGAAAGUGUAAGCAUUCCACCUCAAGAGUAAUUUGGCAACAUUGAAACUGAAAUCAUUAGACCGUUUCUGAAACCAGUAGUGAAGUAUGUUGUUCAAUCGGAUGUUCCACGUAAAACCUUGCCACAAUUUGAAUAUCUUUAUUUUAAUAAUUAUACAAGUGCUGCAUGGCUGUCUUCAGUUAAUGUCGUGAGAUUUUGGUUAGUUCCAUUAAAUUAACGUAAACCCUUACUUUAUUUAUUUAUAAAGUAGUUCACCGUAAUAUUGGAAAUGAUAACAGGGAUUAAGACAAGUCCUUAUGGCCUGAAUAUUGUGGGCUACAGACG
rnacentral:rRNA from 1 species